AACGGGUGAGUAACACGUGGGUGAUCUGCCCUGCACUCUGGGAUAAGCCUGGGAAACUGGGUCUAAUACCGGAUAGGACCAUGCUUUAGUGUGUGUGGUGGAAAGUUUUUUCGGUGUAGGAUGAGCCCGCGGCCUAUCAGCUUGUUGGUGGGGUAAUGGCCUACCAAGGCGGCGACGGGUAGCCGGACUGAGAGGUUGGUCGGCCACAUUGGGACUGAGAUACGGCCCAG
rnacentral:rRNA from 1 species